AAGUGUCAGGUCCUGUGAUGGAAGAAAAUACUGGGUCAACCAUGUAGCACGUAUUAAUGGAGAGUGAUGCAGAUGAUGAUGCUUAAUUACCUUUGAUUUCCAAUUGUACAUCCUUUUAUUCGUUCUUUUAAACCUAUUCUUAUUACGGAGGCAGAACUUUGGUUAAUUCUAUCAAAAUUUCGGAAUUCUUCUACUUUCAUUUUGAAAGGUCUUGAUAACUGAAGUUAAGCAGCAGCAGAAGUGCUGGAAAGCAGGGGGGGGCUGCUGCAAUAAUGUGGCAUCUUAGGCGGUUGCCACAGGUCAGUUUUCUCGGUGUAUUGAUGUGGAAAACUUGUGAUAAGAACUUUUGUUUAAGCUAUUGUUACUCUAUCCAAGAAAUAUGGUACUACUCAUGCAGGUCAUUCCAUGUUCUUGCAAUGAUAGAAUAUGCUGUUAAGCUUCUCCCAUUUUUAAUGCCAUGCAGUCUGGUUGUUGAAUUUAAGGAUCUUUCGCUUAUGUUGGAUGGGUUACACCUUAGGCAGAGCCUGAAGAGGGCUUCGGAUUACAUCAUUGUACCAGCACUGUUGAGAUUAUAGAAUAAGACAGGGGCACAAAAAUUAUGUUGGCUUUCUGGGAUAUAGUGCUGUUGAUAUGCUCUCUCUUAACUAUAGUUGGUGUGGUUCGCGGUGGUUUUAGGUCGUUCUAGUUGGAUCCGUUUUGCUUCUCACCAUCUUGCAUUCCUUUUUUGGAACCGGUUUCUUUUUCUUUUCUUUUUUUUUCUCCGUACCUAGUGCUUUUUGGUUGGAUCUUUGGUGCAUGAGUGGCUUUUAGUUGAUUAUUCUUUGGGUUAUGAAGUAAUUCUUUUGUGCAAUUGAAGCUGAUUUUAUCAGUCAGUUAUUAUUAACCUGUCAGUAGGAUAUUUAGUCUGUGUAGCUCCAUUAUAUUAGAAGUUGCUAUUUCGCAUGGUUUAGGAUUCUCAAUCUGAUGAUGAAAUGCUUUACGGCUUACACUUGCAAGUACCACCAAGUCAUUCACAUUUUUUCUUCUGAAAUACUUUUGGGAAUUGAACGCCCACAGUGGAGGAAGCUAUUCUAUCCGUGAUGCUGCUCUGAAAAUGCCUCCUUGGCCGGAUGUCUGUGCUCCAAACAGUUGAAUCAUGCUAUCUCUAUUGUCCCAACACAAAAAAGAGGUUGGUACUUGCAAGUGUAAGCUGUAAAGCAUUAGAAUACCUUUGCAUAUUAGAAUACCUAUAAAUUUCAUCUUUAAUUUUGUAAACCGUGGAAAGUUGCAAACUGUGUUUUUAUCCAAUGAAUCUGUUUUUUUAUCCGAAAACAGGUAAUACAUAUCCGAGAAAGAAAAAACGGGCAAUACUCUUUUUUUUCUUUGCAAAAGUAUGUUGGAAUACCCUUUUUUUGUUUUUUAAUCAUGGAAUAUCGACUUGCGGAAAAAUCUUUGUUGUUGGACGGAGAUUUGAGAUGGGUUUCUUCGGUACCAUAUUAGGUUUUUCUGGUUUUGAUUUCUAUCGGUCUUGUUGCUGGAUAUUUCCUCUUCAUCUAUUUCCAACCCAGCGAUGUCUCCCCCCCCCCCCUCAAAUAUAUAUUUAUUUAUGUGAGAUUUAAUAUUCUAGAGGCUUUCAUUAUAUUGGAUUGGGUUGAUAUAGUCAAUGCUCACAUAAUUUAUGGUCCUGGAAUUGUUGAUGGAUUGAAAUAUUGGAUUGGGCUGAUAUAGUCUUGCAGAAAUUGAAUUUUUCAUACAUGCUGAGUCUGAUAUUAAUUUAAUUUGCCAAACAAUCUUUCUUUUUUUCUUUUUUAAUUGGCCAAAAAUGGCUUGUAUGAAAAACUAACCAUAUUGCCAUGAUUCAUAAUGUGAUUUCUUGAAUUUUAUUUUUGGGUGUUUUCAACCCAUUGAUACCUCCUCGAUGUACAUGAUCGUCGAAGAAAGCAUUUGGCAACACAGAGAUGGAGAAGGAGUACAUAUCAAAUGGUUCAUCAGAUUCAAGUAUUAUGCUAUCAUAUCAAAUGGAUGUGUUUGGCCUGGAGGAGCACUAUAAUUUUGUGAUCCCAAUUUGAUCAAAUAGAUAUGUUUCGAAUUAUGAGUAUAAAAUUAGUUGAAGAGGUACUGCAUGUGUGGUUGGAUCAUAAUGACCUUCCUAUAAUAAGAUGAUUGUUUUAAUUUAAAGUACAUAAUUUUUUAUUGAACUUAAAGUGUUGGUUGGACUUUCUUAUUGAUUACUCUUUUGAGAUUGAUUUUUCCUCUCC